UUGAACGCUGGCGGCAGGCCUAACACAUGCAAGUCGGACGGUAGCACAGGGGAGCUUGCUCCYYGGGUGACGAGUGGCGGACGGGUGAGUAAUGUCUGGGAAACUGCCCGGUGGAGGGGGAUAACUACUGGAAACGGUAGCUAAUACCGCAUAACGUCUUCGGACCAAAGUGGGGGAYCUUMGGRCCUCACGCCACCGGAUGUGCCCAGAUGGGAUUAGCUAGUAGGUGGGGUAACGGCUCACCUAGGCGACGAUCCCUAGCUGGUCUGAGAGGAUGACCAGCCACACUGGAACUGAGACACGGUCCAGACUCCUACGGGAGGCAGCAGUGGGGAAUAUUGCACAAUGGGCGCAAGCCUGAUGCAGCCAUGCCGCGUGUAUGAAGAAGGCCUUCGGGUUGUAAAGUACUUUCAGCGGGGAGGAAGGCGGUGAGGUUAAUAACCUCGCCGAUUGACGUUACCCGCAGAAGAAGCACCGGCUAACUCC
rnacentral:rRNA from 1 species